UCCCUCACCUCUCUCACUGUAGCUCCCUCAUUCUCUCAGUGUGUGUGGUGUAUAUAGUGUAUAUAUGUGUGUUUGUGCACAUGUGUGCACGUGUGUCUGGAGGCUUCCUCUGACACUCCUCCCAUUGUUUUUAGAGACAGGGUUUCUCAUUGAACCCGAGAUUACCGAUUAGCCAACAGGCUAGCCAACCAAUAAAUUCCAGUAACAACCCAGCACUGGGGUCACUGCCUUCACUGUCACCUUGGUUUUUGAUGGGAUCCACAGGUACUCGUGCUUACAACUGAGCCAGUUCCUCAGCCCCACCCCACCCCUGCCUCUGUGACCCACUCAGGACAUUGUCUCCCUGCUCUUGGGUCCCCCUGCUCAUCAAGAGGAUGUGAAUUUGCCCCUCCCUACGAAUAAGCUGGAAGUUGCUCUUGCCCGAUGCCCUUGAUGGGCUGAAACUGAUUCUGGGAACAGAGUCCAUUCCUGUGGCCCAGUUUCCUACACGGAAUUCCAACCUCUUCCCCUGAGCUCCGGAGAGUCAGGCUUGCUGAUCCCUCUGCGGAACCUCGGCAGAAACUUCAAACAGCAUUUGAUGGUCUCCUCGUCAUUUGAAGAUCUGAGACUCUGCCGAGCUGCUAGGCCUGGGUGUUUGUGAAUCCUCCUCAUUCUACGGAUGUGGAAGGUGGGAGAGGUGGGGAGGGGGGGGGGUUGCAAAUGUCCCCUGAACAAGGUAGCCACCAUAUGGACAGGUGGCAGAGCACACGGAUUUGUCACCAAGAGGAGAUGGGAACCGCUAUUAGUAGAGAUUCAAGGACAGGGAUGUUUCCAAACUCCCCACAAAGCUAGCAUAGACUCCUGUUCCAAGUGUCAAGAGAUCAUAGGUAGGGAGUAGCUUGCCUACACAUCCCAGUGUCUUUGAGACUUUCCAGGUUCUCCAUCAUCUCCCUGUGACAGCUGAGACUAAAAGCUGAGAUAAGUGAGCAGCCUGCCCCUUGUCACCAGCUGAUAACAAAAGAGCAAGGUUCGAGACCCCUGAAGCCCAAGUCCAUUCCAGAAAAGGCUGUGCUCAACCGUUGUCAGUCACAGACUGUGUAUCUGUGUACAAAUAUUUACUCUGAUUUCCUAAAAAGAAAACUAGCCAGGAAAUGCUUUUAGAUCCCCCCUGGACAAUUACAGUUCUUUCCCAAUUCUUUAAAUACUUGGUUAAAUAUUGAUCCAACUGCCUUGCUGGGAUUAGAGUCGGCGAGCGAAACUUGUGUGGGAGAGGUGAUAGAUAGGCUACUCCAGGGGACUGUGUCCAUCAUUUUGGUAAAGUAUAGAUGUAUCUUUCCUGUAAAGAAGCAGUGCCAGGCCUAAGAGGCAUUGGAUCUGCUGCCCACAUCAAGCAGGGUGUAUGAGCUUCUGUUGCUGCUAUAACAAAACCAGCACCAACCUAGACAAUGUCUGUGGGAGAGGUCUUACUUUGCUCCUCAGAGCAGCAGCCCCCUCAGAGCAGCUCUGGUCUCCUUGGUGCUCUUAGUUGUGCAGCCACAGACAAUUUGAAUAGACUUCCUGCCUUCCAGCUCAGCUCUAGCUGGCUUGUAGAGAGAUCCACAAUGGUAACAGAGAUUGUGGACUCCAGUCUGAUAGAUCCAGAUAGCUAGGAUCCCUUUUGGAGAGAAGAUGCUGGUGACUGGCUCCCUAUUCCUCCCUCCAUGAUCACUGCUUCAAAACAAGAAACCAGUAGUCGCGGACUUUUCCAAGAUAACUUUUGUUAUCACUUUUGCCAAGAACUCCACCAAAUUGAUGUCAUAAGGAGUACUGACUCCCAUGGAUAUGUAGAACCAUGAGUUUUCUUUUCUUUUCUUUUCUUUUCUUUUCUUUUCUUUUCUUUUCUUUCCUUUCCUUUCCUUUCCUUUCCUUUCCUUUCCUUUCCUUUCCUUUUCCUUAAAAAAAAAAAAAAGAAUAGCUUCCAUUUAUUUGUAUAUGUAUAUGCCCAUGUGAAUUUCUAUGCACCUCAUACAUGCAGGAGCCUGCAGAGGUAAGAAGAGGGUAUCAAAUCCCCUGGGGCUGGAGUUGCAGAGGGCGGCGACCUGCCCUGUGGAUCCUGGAAGUCAAAUUCAGGUCUUAUAUAAGAGCGGUAAGUGCUCUAACCACUGCACAACCUCCCCCCCCCACCACACACACACACACAAGCGUGUAUACCUAUGGAAGCCAGAGCUCAGCACUAAGUGUCUUUCUCACUUUCUCUCCACCUUAUUUCUUUAGACAUGGUCUCCUUGAAUCUGGAGCUUGCUCAUUCAUCUAGGAUGACUAGCCAAUGAGCUUCAGCUUACAGGAAAUAGCAGUGUGCUAUGCUCAGAGAGGGCCAAAGACAGGCUUCCCACAGCACCCAGUGACCUGGACUGUGAACCUAGCUGUCCUACGUGUUGGAAACUCUCCAGUGAUGAACACGGUAAUUAACAGAAAGUGGAGAAGAGCUUUCGCAUGAGAGAAUUUGAAAGGAGAGGAAGGUCAGCUGACUCUGAAUACAUAGGCUGACUCACUGCAACCCAGCCCUGCUUUUGUGCCCCUUGCUCUCUUGGGUAGUCCGAAAAGAAUGCAGUACAUGUCUUGUAGCAGGUGCCCAGUGGCUGCGUGCCAACACGUUGACUUGCCUCC